CACACACACACUGGCGCGCACCAUCCAUGCGCAUCCACACACUUUCCCCCCUCUUUCUACUUGGGAACUCUAUAGAGGACUAUUGAACAAAAGGAUAUGUGAUUUAAAAAAAAAACAUGGAUUCAAUCUUGGUUUUUUCGCCUUAACCGCUGAUCCGACUUUUUUUUCCCUCUCCAUUUUUCCUGUGUGCGAGUCGACCCUCAGCUCUUCCUCGGAGCUGUUUUCUCGCCCUCCAUAUUUCGGCGUCGACUGGUGUCUCGAUCCGAGCGCGCCGAUCCCAAAGUGGAUGUUUAUGACUGACUCUUUGCCUUCAAGUCGCCCCCAUGACUGAGCUCGGGUGCAGGCGCGCGCCGGGCUGCCCACUCGGGAAGACCCGCGGCUGAAGUUUGCAGGCUUCGCAGACCGGCCAUCCCCUCGCAUUUUUAUCUCCGGAUUUGGCAAUUAUCUCCUCCUUGCGUGGAUUUCUGUCUGCAAACUGCUUGGAUUUACCCGUCUUUUAUAACACCGAUAACGCCCCGUCUCAAACCAUGAAGACCAUUAUUGCUGAUGGGGGGAGACUCCUGGUUCUGAUUAUGUGGCUGAACUUUGCACCUCAAAGUGACAGCUGCCCUGCUAAGUGUGUGUGCUACAGUGAACCCCGGCCUUCUGUGUCAUGCCAACAACAAGGACUCUUUUCCAUCCCUACUGAGAUUCCUGUGCGGAGCCAGCGAAUCUUCCUCCAGAGCAACAAGCUGACGGUAGUGAAGUCCACAAGCUUCAGCUCUUGCCAAAAUCUCACCGUCCUGUGGCUCUACUCUAACAACAUUAGCUACAUAGAGGCCGGUGCCUUCUACGGCUUGGAGAAACUGGAGGAACUGGACAUUGGGGACAAUAGCAACCUUCGAACAAUCAGCCCAACAGCUUUCCGAGGCUUAACUAAGCUGCACACACUCCACCUGCACAGGUGUGGCCUGUCAGAGCUGCCCGUUGGGGUUUUCAGAGGAAUGUUCUCCCUACAGUACCUUUACUUGCAGGAUAAUAACAUUCUAACCCUGCAUGACGACACUUUUCUGGACCUUGCCAACCUUACCUAUCUCUACCUGCACAAUAACAAGAUCAAGAUAGUGACCGACAACAUGUUCCAUGGUUUAAUCAAUCUCGACCGCCUGCUGCUACACCAGAACCGUGUAAUUUUUGUCCAACCAAGGGCUUUUAGUGAUAUGGCUAAGUUGAAAUCCCUCUUUUUGUUUUUCAACAACCUCACCGUCUUGACAGGGGAAACAAUGGAUCCGCUCACCACGCUCCAAUACUUGCGCCUAAAUGGUAACCAGUGGAUUUGUGACUGCCGGGCCAGGACCUUGUGGGAGUGGUUCAAACGUUUCAAGGGUUCCAGCUCUGAGUUGGAGUGCGACGUUCCUGAAUUCCUCGCAGGAAAGGAUCUGAAACGACUGAAGAGCGAAGACUUGGAGGGAUGUGUGGAAACGCCUCAAAUCCAGACCAAUCUCUUCGCCUCUAAAACCCAGUCUGGGAAUUUCCCGUCCACCGAAAAUCCACUUGGGGACGCGAUUCCCAGGUGUUGUCUCGGAGAUAACGACAAGUCCUCUAUCCUGUCUGGCAAGAGUCGCCAAAUUACUAACAACCCCCUGAAGGAAAAAGAGAACAUGUCUAAGACGAAAUUUAAAGAUCCAGAAAGAACGAAAAAUGACACCCAGAACAAGCAGAAUGAUGGACCUCUUGGUACCUUAUCCAACACCCUGGACAAGUCUUUGGAAAAUAUGAACCCUAACCUUAUAGACGGUCUAGAAUCUUCUACAGCCUCAAACAAAAAGAAAAAGAAGUGCUCCAAAAAGCCCAGAUCAGACACCCACUGCAUUAAAGGCCGGGGUUCUACAUUGCAAGUACUGCGUUGUCUCCUCAUUCCCAUGAUCUGGAUCUCUCUAGCCAUGUCUUAGGACUCCUGAUAUGAUUCUAAAUGCAGGACUGAAGAUUGUGGAUGCCCAUGACAAUGAUAAGUGAUGUAUGCGGUGGCAUCUGCAACAGACAGUGACUGAAAGUGAGGUUCUGGAUGCAAUAUGGAUUUUCGUCUUGGCAAGAAAUCAGCGAUUGAGGUAAAGUGUAUUCCCACUUACAUACCUGGAAGCUGCCAAAUACAACCACAGUUUGAUCUGCUGGCCACUGUGAAGCUCCACUGGAGCAUUUAUGGUUAAUGGUCUUACUCAAUCGAGGUUGUCAUUAAGGAAAGGCAAGUAUGCACUCUUUACCGACCCUGACUCAUGCUGCCCGUUAAGGGAAUCAACCUAUAACCUCCCCUUCCUUGCCUCUCUAAGGGUAUGGUAAAAAUAAUCAAAUAAAACCUGUAAAACAAAGUCUACAAAGAUUAUGAAAUACAACAAAUGUACACAUUGCUUAUCUUGACAGUUCAUUAUUUAUUCAAAAAUUUCCCUGUUCACAUCUUACUUUUCUGAGUGUUAAUUUACUUUUCACUUUGAGACCUACUUUGAAAGUUGAAUCCCCGAAACACUGUGAAUAGCCAAAAUGACAAAACGGCCCUGAAGCUGCCUCAAAAUUAUCCACAACCUGAACCAUACUGCAUAAUUACUUCUCCAUGAGUCAAAGCUUAUUUAUCGUGCCCAUGUGGCACUGUUGGGCUUCUAUUUGUCUUUGAGAUUGUUGUGCCAUAUCAGAACAAGAUAUACUAUAACCUAUCAUCAAUUAAUUUUCUACUUUUUAUCUUGUUGCGGGUUGUUGGGAGCUGGAGCCUAUCCCAGCUAACGUUCGGCAAAAGGGAGACUAUAUUUUUCUCAUUGCAAAGUUUGACCACUUUCAGCAAAAAGUGUUUGUGAAAUCAAAAGCUCGGGAGCUCAAAGGGACGUCGUUUGGAAUGAACGACUAGUUGCCCAAGGAAAUUAAUGAGAGGCGUAAAAUCUUGUACCCAUUGAUGAAGCAUCACCGUGAGAAAGGCAAACGAGCGUGGCUAGUUGUCGAUAAACUAUAUGUCGUCGGCCAACUGUUUCAUGAUGCCAACGUCACGCCCUGGCUCUUCUAGAUAAGUACUUCUUUUGAUCUGUUGUCAUUAUGAAUUUUCAAAAGUGUAUUGUAGCUUGUGUCAUUCUUUCCACUUUUGCUUAGAUAAACAAAAAAAAAACAGAAUCACGCAUGUCACGAGCAUGAAUUCUCACUCCUAUCUGUCUGCUUUCCUGCUCUGCUUGUUUCCACACGCACUAAACACACAAGUCGCUCAAAACUCUUCUUGUGCACUCCAAACAACCACUACACACCAUAUUAUCCCCUUUGGCACUCUUUGUUUUCUAUGUUCAGUGUUUGUUCGUUACCCUUCUAUGUACCCUGGCUUUGCUGUACUUAAAUAUAGUAUCUCUAUCACCCUCUCUAAAUAACAUUUGUCAACACAAUACGAAAAAAUCUCCUGGAAACUGUCAAAAACAACAACAAAGAAUACAUAGUACUGAAUCUAUUUAAAAUUAAAAUUAUGAUACACGCACCCAUUAUAUGGCACACUUAACUUUUGUGUCAUACUUAACUUUUGUGUCACACUUAACUUUUGUGUCAAUGGCAUUCGAGGCAAAGAGAAUUAAGAUUAUGGAUUGUAUCACUAAACUUAAAACAGACCACCUCCUAUUACAAGAAACACACCUUAUUGAGUCAGAAGAAAAAUGCCUCAUUGACUCUAAUUUCACUCAGGCUAUCUCUGCCUUUUAUAACAGUAGACAAAGAGGAGUCUCAAUAUUAGUUCGUAAAAGACUACUUUUUGCAAUACAUAGUACAGUAGCAGAUCUAAAAGGCCGAUACAUAAUUAUACAGGUUACAAUAUUUAAGAAACUUUACACAAUUGUCAAUGUAUACGCUCCUAAUAAAGAUGAUCCAGCCUUAUUUCACAUGCUCUUUUCACACUUGUUAAACUUGUCAGCCAAUUCUACAAUUAUCAUGGGAGGUGAUUUUAACCUUACGCUAAAUCCGCUAAUAGAUUGCUCAAAUCUCCCCAAUAUACUAGGGCAGUAUAUGGACGACUUUGGUCUUGUUGACAUAUGGAGGCUGAAAAACCAUACAAAAAGAGAAUUCACAUUUUUCUCAUCGGUUCACCGCUCUCUCAAGAAUAUUUUUUUUUCUCUCAAACAAUUCAGCAGCUCAAAGAAUUACCGCCAAAAUGUAUCCAGUCAUCAUCAGCGACCAUGCAUCAAUUUCUCUCAAUCUAAGAAUUUAGUCAAGUCUGGAAUCCCCACCAACAUGGCGCUUCAACACAUCCUUAUUGAAGGACCCGGAUUUGGAUUCUUUCGUGAGGCAGGAAUGGGACGAGUUUUGGAAAUUCAACAACUCCCAAACCGUAUCCCCAUCUCUGCUGUUGGAAACCGGGAAAGUUGUAUUGAGAGGUCAAAUCAUAUCAUACUUUUCAUAUAAGAAAAAACAAGAACAAACAUUUGAAAAUGAAAUUUAAGAUACACUAACUUUGAGUACCUUGCGAACCAACUUCAGCGCAAUAAAGAAAAGUCAUUAAUUACAGCCAUUCAAGAUUCAAACGGCAACUGUACACGGUCACCGUGAGAAAUAAAUGAAAUAUUUUACAAAUAUUGUAGCUGAUAAUACGCAUCUUCGAACAACCCAUACCAAAAAGAAAUUGAAACUUUUAAGGAUCUAAAUAUUCCUCAAUUAAAUACACAAAUUAAAGACAGCCAUGAUGUUCUUUUAACCGUCACAGAAUUACAUAACGCAUAAAUAAGUGGUAAAGAAAAUUGAUUAAAAAAUAUGCAAUCGGGACGAGCGCCUGGCCCAGACGGAAUCUCCGUUGAAUUCAUUAAACAUUUCUGGCCAAUACUAGCACCUUUAUUUUUAAAAACAGUCAAGGAGAUAAACAAUAAAGGUAAAAUAAGUAGCCAUAUGAACACUGCUUCAAUUAAAUUAUUACUAAAAUCAGGUAAAGACCAGACUCUCCCGGGUAAUUAUCGGCCCUUAUCACUGAUUAAUGUAGAUAUUAAGAUUAUCUCAAAAGCCCUCGCAACGAGACUUGAAAAGGUACUCCCGUCAAUAAUCCACUAUGACCAGACAGGCUUCAUUAAAAGGUAGAAGUUCCACAAAUAAUGUCAGACAUCUGUUAAAUUUAAUAAGCAUGUCACAGCAUAAAAAUCAAAAUGCAAUCAUCAUGUCACUUGACACAGAGAACGCUUUCGAUAAAGUUAACUGGGCUUUCCUGUUUACGGUACUUCGCAAAUUUGGCUUUGGAAACUCAUUUCGACAUUGGAUAGCAACACUAUACAAUUCGCCAAAAGCGACAGUCACCACAAAUAGGAUUACGUCAUAAAGUUUUACUUUACAAAGAGGAACUUGACAAGAAUGUCAACUCUCAAACAAUGCUAUUUGCAAUAUUCAUCGAACCUCUUGCUGCCACUAUACGUCAGAAUGCUAAUAUUAAAAGGUAUCUGCUCGCUAGUGACAGAACACAAAAUCAAUCUGUAUGCUGAUGAUAUUCGUCUUUAUUUACAGGAACCCAAGUAUUCUCUUCAGGCAGUCUUAAAACAUUAAAAAUUUUCACAAAUAUUUUAUUACUCUAUCAACGGGACAAAAUCAACAAUACUCCCAAUAACAGCAAACUCAUGGACUCCUGCAGAUCAAAUCCCAGAUUACCCCAGUCCUGUAGGAAACUAACUAUUUAAGUAUUAAUAUUUCGCCAAAACUCACAGAGCUAACUAAUCUAAAUUACACACCACUUCUGGAUAAAAUCUCGUCCGAUUUAAGAUGCUCGAAUAACUUGCCUAUAACACUACAGGGAAGAAUAGCCACAAUAAAAAUUAAAACCUUACCUCAAAUAAAUUGGCUGGCGGGGUGGCAUUGGCUCCCUACGGCUUCCUCCGGCUGCUCUCUGGUGGACGCCUGGGCCAGAUCCCGCCCCUCAAUUGAUUGGGUGGGGUCCUCAGCCUCCGCGGUGCAGGCACAACAAUUACAGAACACUUCUGUCAGUCUUUGUGCAUACGAAACGGUGUCAAUUCACUUGCAUGUGUCCGCAGGCACACACCCCUGGGACUCUUUCGCUGGGUGUGGGGCCACUCAUUUAUUGCGACAAAUACUCAUGAAUAUGCAAAUUGCUUGUGUAUCCCCUCACUCACACUCUCGUCCUAUAGACUUUUAUCAUUUACAUAGUCAAUCCCACCACGCUUCAGUUGUACAGCCGGGUUCACGGCCCUUGUCCUGCAUGCUCCUUCUCCUGUACUUGUCCUGUUCUAUCUUGUCCUGUCUUUCCCUCACAGGGUGUAGUACUACAGCCCCAUACAACACUCAUAACUAAUGUUUCAUUGUUGAAGAUAUGUAAUGAUUUACUUUUCUCAUCCUGUUUAUAAUUAGUGCUUUGUCUUUUGUCUUCGUUUCUCUCUCCCCUCUAGAAACUUUGUUCUGUUCGACUGAUCGACUCUGAUGCUCAAUAAACAAUUAUAAUACUAAGAAACCACAGCGGCAGCUUAAAAACUCCACUGUGACACAGUAAAACUGUUCCGGCAUAAAAGGGAUACAGAUCCUCCAUUCUGCUUGACCCAACAGGUCAAAAAACAAAACAAAAAAAACUCUG